GCGCGAGUGGCGGAAUUGGUAGACGCGCACGGUUCAGGUCCGUGUGCUGGAAACGGCGUGGGGGUUCAAGUCCCCCUCGCGCACCA
rnacentral:tRNA from 2 species